rnacentral:rRNA from 1 species
AUUGAACGCUGGCGGCAUGCCUUACACAUGCAAGUCGAACGGCAGCACGGGGCAACCUGGUGGCGAGUGGCGAACGGGUGAGUAAUGCAUCGGAACGUACCUUUCAGUGGGGGAUAACGUAGCGAAAGUUACGCUAAUACCGCAUAUUCUGUGAGCAGGAAAGCAGGGGAUCGCAAGACCUUGCGCUGAUUGAGCGGCCGAUGUCAGAUUAGCUAGUUGGUGAGGUAAAGGCUCACCAAGGCGACGAUCUGUAGCGGGUCUGAGAGGAUGAUCCGCCACACUGGAACUGAGACACGGUCCAGACUCCUACGGGAGGCAGCAGUGGGGAAUUUUGGACAAUGGGGGCAACCCUGAUCCAGCCAUGCCGCGUGAGAGAAGAAGGCCUUCGGGUUGUAAAGCUCUUUCGGCCGGGAAGAAAUCGCACGGGCUAAUACCCUGUGUGGAUGGCGGUACCGGAAUAAGAAGCACCGGCUAACUACGUGCCAGCCGCCGCCGUAAUAC